AACGAACGCUGGCGGCAGGCUUAACACAUGCAAGUCGAGCGCCCCGCCAGGGGAGCGGCAGACGGGUGAGUAACGCGUGGGAACGUACCUUUUGGUUCGGAACAACUCCGGGAAACUGGAGCUAAUACCGGAUAAGCCCUAACGGGGAAAGAUUUAUCGCCGAAAGAUCGGCCCGCGUCUGAUUAGCUAGUUGGUGAGGUAACGGCUCACCAAGGCGACGAUCAGUAGCUGGUCUGAGAGGAUGAUCAGCCACACUGGGACUGAGACACGGCCCAGACUCCUACGGGAGGCAGCAGUGGGGAAUAUUGGACAAUGGGCGCAAGCCUGAUCCAGCCAGGCCGGGUGAGUGAUGAAGGCCUUAGGGUUGUAAAGCUCUUUUGUCCGGGAAGAUAAUGACUGUACCGGAAGAAUAAGCCCCGGCUAACUUCGUG
rnacentral:rRNA from 1 species